UAAAAAUUUAGUUCUUAAUAUUCAUUGUUGAAAGAAAGAAAUUGUUGAUUACCUCGGAUCUAUGGAUGGACAUUUGCUGCAGAAACUAAAUACUCACAAUCCGUUUGAAUUGGAAAUACCAAAUUCAGGUUAUUUCAAUACUUUUAUGUAGAAUCCGCUUCGUUGAUGAUGCCAAACGGGCAUGAAUACUAUAAAAUAUCUAGCAUCAAUCCCAAGUAAGCUUGUAAAGAACAACAAUAUGGCCACAAACCUCAAACAUACGCGCAGUCCAAGCCCAAAUUGGAAAAACCUGUAAAUUAAAUUGUUUAUCAAAAUACUUAAAAAUAGCAAUUUGAAAAAGUAUCAGUCGGUUUUUCCUACAGAUGUACAUUCUCAGCCAAUGUUCGAAUAUUUAAAUAUAUUUUGACUUCUGUUACGAUUA